CCCUCCAGGAGGCCUUCAGUACCUUCGGUGACGUCCUUGAAUCGAAGGUCGGUUUGCGUUGUCGCAUAGAUUGGAUCUGACCGACCCCGUUUGGCUUUGUCGAUCCAAGAUCUGUGAUCUGUUUGUGUUACUAUAUUCUCUCUGUUACUGUUCUUUUAUGUUACUAAACGAAAACCGGUACGUUCUUCAUCCUGUGGGCGAAGAUCGAUCGAAUAUUUCUUUAUUGUUUUUAUACUUCAGUUGAUUUGUAUUUCUCCGUUUGUGCUUAGAUCUGAUUGUUUUUCUUGAUUCUUUGUUUAGAUUAUCAAUGAUCGGGAGACCGGUAGAUCUCGUGGUUUUGGAUUUGUGACAUUCAGCAACGAGAAAUCUAUGAGGGAUGCUAUUGAAGGAAUGAACGGUCAGAAUCUUGACGGCCGUAAUAUUACUGUGAAUGAAGCCCAGUCUCGCGGAAGCGGAGGCGGAGGAAAUGGGGGUUACAGCCGUGGCGGCGGCGGCGGCGGUUAUGGUGGUGGAGGACGACGUGAAGGUGGUUAUGGAGGGGGCUACAACCGUGGCGGUGGUGGAUAUGGUGGCGGUGGUGGGUACGGUGGAGGCCGUGACCGUGGAUAUGGAGAUGGGGGUUCUCGGUACUCCAGGGGUGGAGGAGCUUCUGAAGGGAACUGGAGAAAUUAGGAUGUAGGUUUUAUGAUUUAAAUCUAUGUUGGGUUUGGGUGUGAGUUGGUUUAUCGUUAGGGUGCUCUGUUAGGUUGUGCGUUAUUCAUAUGGAUCUUUCAUUUUUGAUCGCUAUCUAUGUAUGCCAAAGCCCUUGUUCCAGAAAAUUUUAGUUUAGUAUCAUAUCUUUGUGUUUCUCUGCUGUUUCUUCGUUAUUCUUGAUGGGUUGAUAAUUUUGUUUUUCGUUCUUUGGAUUAUUUGUAAGAGAAGUAGCUAUCUGUUCUUAAACCCUCAGUAGUGGCCAACUAACGUUUUGGGGGUAUUUACUUGAUUUAUUUGGGAGGCAUGAUUCUCUAAGCCAGAGAAAAUCUUCUGCUAGAAAUAAAUCAACGAAAGAACAGACCGACCUUCCCAGUUUUUGUCUAAUAACUAUUUGACUAGCAGUAGGAAAUAUAAAUAAUUUUCUCCUCGAGAAGAGGUAAAUAGUGUAGAAAAUGAAAAAGAAAAAAUGGCGGGUGAGAUUGUAAUUUUCAUAUAAUAUUGUACCUUUGUGAUUCAAAUUCAGAACCAUUGUGCGUGUAAGUUUCUUAUCUAUUAGCAUAUUUUUCUUGAUACAAGCAUUCUAUACUGGAUGCCUUCGAUUUUCAAAAUUUCAGACUGGGAUGAGGGGCCGUCGACCUGUCUGGGGUAAGGGGAGACUCGAUAAGGGAAAAUGUGCAAGGAUGCGCUGCCACUGAGCCACCGUUGAGCCGAAAUGAAGUGUAAUGGAGAGGAGGAAAGUCUUCACUGUGAGUACCCUUGGAAGUCCUUAACGAUGCUCUGAUAUUUCCAUCGGAAAAAAAAAAAUCUGAACUACUGCAUUCCGGAUACCCCAAACCAUAACCUUGUGUUUGGAUCCUGCAAGAGAAAUAGAGAAAUUAAAUAAUAGAGAGAUUAAAGAAUUAGAGAAGAAAAGAAUUUUGAUUUAUCUUGGAUAAAGGAGUAGUUUAGAGUAGAAAUCAAAUUUCUUGUAGAGAAGAUAUAUAAGCGUUGCAUACCUAUUUCCCUCCCUUUCCUUUUGCCACCAAAUUGGGAGAAAUUUGUAAUAAACUGGGAAAUGCUAGUGUUUUUUCCUUUUAUUUUUGGUGAUACUAAGCUAAUUAAUGAGAACGAGAUAUUCAUAAAUGAACCUAAGCUAAACUAAUCUUUGCUCG
rnacentral:lncRNA from 1 species